rnacentral:rRNA from 1 species
UCAAUAAGCGGAGGAAAAGAAACUAACAAGGAUUCCCCUAGUAACGGCGAGUGAAGAGGGAAGAGCCCAAGAUUGAAAGCUGGCGUCUUCGGCGUCCGCAUUGUAAUCUCAAGAAGUGUUUUCCGCUUCGGACCAUGCCUAAGUCCCUUGGAAAAGGGCAUCAUAGAGGGUGAUAAUCCCGUACAUGGCAUGGAGCGCCCGAAGCUUUGUGAUUACACAUUCUACGAGUCGAGUUGUUUGGGAAUGCAGCUCAAAAUGGGUGGUAAAUGCCAUCUAAGGCUAAAUAUUGGGGAGAGACCGAUAGCGAACAAGUACAGUGAUGGAAAGAUGAAAAGAACUUUGAAAAGAGAGUUAAACAGUACGUGAAAUUGCCAAAAGGGAAGGGUAGGAGGUCAGAGAUGCGUCUUGGAAUUCAGCCUUGCUUUUGCUUGGUGUUUUUUCCAAUUUGCAGGCCAACGUCGGUUUUGGGCACUGGAGAAGGGUAGGAGGAACGUAGCACCUCUCGGGGUGUGUUAUAGCCUCCUACUGGAUACAGCGACCGAGACCGAGGAUAGCAGCGUACUCGCAAGAGCGGGCCUUUGGGCACCUUUACGCUUAGGGCGUUGGCAUAAUGGCCCUCUACCACCCGUCUUGAAACAC